GUGGGGAAUAUUCCGCAAUGGACGAAAGUCUGACGGAGCAACGCCGCGUGAGUGAUGAAGGUUUUCGGACUGUAAAGCUCUGUUGUUUAGGACGAAAGUGCCUGUUGCAAAUAGUUACAGGUAUUGACGGUACUGAACGAGGAAGCCACGGCUAACUACGUGUCAGCAGCCGCGGUAAUACGUAGGUGGCAAGCGUUGUCCGGAAUUAUUGGGCGUAAAGAGCAUGUAGGCGGGAAUCUAAGUCUGUUGUGAAAAUGCGGGGCUCAACCCCGUAUUGCGAUGGAAACUGGGUUUCUUGAGUGCAGGAGAGGAAAGGGGAAUUCCCAGUGUAGCGGUGAAAUGCGUAGAUAUUGGGAGGAACACCAGUGGCGAAGGCGCCUUUCUGGACUGUGUCUGACGCUGAGAUGCGAAAGCCAGGGUAGCGAACGGGAUUAGAUACCCCGGUAGUCC
rnacentral:rRNA from 1 species